UUAACAGAAGUAAAUGUAAGACAAUAUGGAUUGGUGGUGGCCAGACAAAGAAAUUGAUGCUCUUGUUUAUCCUCAAGGAAGACGGCCAAAGAAGGUGAUGGAUCCACAACACUUUCAAUGAGUGGAAGAUGAUUUGGUUAAAUGGGA